AUGAACGCUGGCGGCGUGCUUAACCCCUGCAAGUCGCACGGUGAAGGCGGAGCUUGCUCUGCUGGAUCAGUGGCGAACGGGUGAGUAACACGUGAGCAAUCUGCCCCUGACUCUGGGAUAAGCGCUGGAAACGGCGUCUAAUACUGGAUACGAGCUGCGAAGGCAUCUUCAGCAGCUGGAAAGAAUUUCGGUCAGGGAUGAGCUCGCGGCCUAUCAGCUUGUUGGUGAGGUAAUGGCUCACCAAGGCGUCGACGGGUAGCCGGCCUGAGAGGGUGACCGGCCACACUGGGACUGAGACACGGCCCAGUCUCCUACGGGAGGCAGCAGUGGGGAAUAUUGCACAAUGGGCGAAAGCCUGAUGCAGCAACGCCGCGUGAGGGACGACGGCCUUCGGGUUGUAAACCUCUUUUAGCAGGGAAGAAGCGAAAGUGACGGUACCUGCAGAAAAAGCGCCGGCUAACUACGUG
rnacentral:rRNA from 1 species